GCGGACCUCUUCGGAGGUCAGCGGCGGACGGGUGAGGAACACGUGGGUAAUCUGCCUUUCAGACUGGAAUAACGCCCGGAAACGGGCGCUAAUGCCGGAUACGCCCGAUGGGAGGCAUCUUUUGUCGGGGAAAGGGCCAACCGGUCCGCUGAGAGAGGAGCCCGCGGCGCAUUAGCUCGUUGGCGGGGUAACGGCCCACCAAGGCGACGAUGCGUAGCCGGCCUGAGAGGGUGAACGGCCACACUGGGACUGAGACACGGCCCAGACUCCUACGGGAGGCAGCAGUAGGGAAUCUUCCGCAAUGGGCGCAAGCCUGACGGAGCAACGCCGCGUGAGCGAAGAAGGCCUUCGGGUUGUAAAGCUCUGUUGCUCGGGGAGAGUGGCGCGGGGAGGGGAAAGCCCUGCGCGAGACGGUACCGAGUGAGGAAGCCCCGGCUAACUACGUGCCAGCAGCCGCGGUAAAACGUAGGGGGCGAGCGUUGUCCGGAAUCACUGGGCGUAAAGGGUGCGUAGGCGGUCGAGCAAGUCUGGAGUGAAAGUCCGUGGCUCAACCAUGGGAUGGCUCUGGAAACUGCUUGACUUGAGUGCUGGAGAGGCAAGGGGAAUUCCACGUGUAGCGGUGAAAUGCGUAGAGAUGUGGAGGAAUACCAGUGG
rnacentral:rRNA from 1 species